AGUAGUUUAAUAUAUUCUGUGUGUCCUGACAUCGUUUCAGUCUAGACAAAUCAUUAAACAGCUAGGUCUAAAACUGACCGACUUAGAGGAGUAUCCAGAGAUUGAUGUUGCUAUUGACGGAGCUGAUGAAGUGGACCACAAUCUAACCCUUAUCAAAGGAGGAGGUGGUUGUCUUACUCAAGAGAAAAUUGUUGCAUCUUGUGCUCAAGAUUUUGUUAUCAUAGCUGAUCAUCG